rnacentral:rRNA from 1 species
GGGACCUGAUGCAGCCAUGCCGCGUGUGUGAAGAAGGCCUUCGGGUUGUAAAGCACUUUCAGUUGUGAGGAAAGGUUGGUAGUUAAUACCUGCCAGCUGUGACGUUAACAACAGAAGAAGCACCGGCUAACUCCGUGCCAGCAGCCGCGGUAAUACGGAGGGUGCGAGCGUUAAUCGGAAUUACUGGGCGUAAAGCGCACGCAGGCGGUUUGUUAAGCUAGAUGUGAAAGCCCCGGGCUCAACCUGGGAUGGUCAUUUAGAACUGGCAGACUAGAGUCUUGGAGAGGGGAGUGGAAUUCCAGGUGUAGCGGUGAAAUGCGUAGAUAUCUGGAGGAACAUCAGUGGCGAAGGCGGCUCCCUGGCCAAAGACUGACGCUCAUGUGCGAAAGUGUGGGUAGCGAACAGGAUUAGAUACCCUGGUAGUCCACACCGUAAACGCUGUCUACUAGCUGUUUGUGAAUUUAAUUCGUGAGUAGCGAAGCUAACGCGCUAAGUAGACCGCCUGGGGAGUACGGCCGCAAGGUUAAAACUCAAAUG